rnacentral:tRNA from 1 species
AUUUAAAUAGCUUAUAUAAAUAGAGUAUAAUAUUGAAGAUAUUAAGGAGAUUAAAUAAAUCUUUAAAUA